GUGGAGGGAACUUUCCCAGGCCCCGAGGCGGAUCGGGUAUUGAGUCCAUGGAGCGAGCUGAGAGCUAGAGAUCUAAAGCUUAAGGACUAUGGAGUGGAUCUCAUUGAAGUUUCAGACAAUGGAUGUGGGGUAGAAGAAGAAAACUUUGAAGGCUUAACGAUGUCACCAUUUCUACCUGCCACGCAUCGGCGAAGGUUGGGACUCGACUGGUGUUUGAUCACGAUGGGAAAAUCAUCCAGAAAACCCCCUACCCCCACCCCAGAGGGACCACAGUCAGCGUGAAGCAGUUAUUUUCUACACUACCUGUGCACCAUAAGGAAUUUCAAAGGAAUAUUAAGAAGACGUGCCUGUUUCCCCUUCGCCUUCUGCCGUGAUUGUCAGUUUCCUGAGGCCUCCCCAGCCAUGCUUCCUGUACAGCCUGCAGAACUGAUGGCCGUAUAAGAAAAUAAACAACUUGCUAAAACUGCUGAAACUCCCUCUGCUUGUGAGAUUUAAAAAAACUGGCUGAAAUUGGUUGGAACCAACAUGUCCAAUGGAGUCUGAAUAGAAAGAGCUUGCUGACAUCACAGCCCGAAUUUCCACCACAUUUCAUACUAACUCCCCCUGAAUUUGCAUAUGCAAACCACAAGCAAGCAUGAUCAAACAGACAACUGCGCGUGUCCGAGGACUUUCCAGAUCUCCCCUUUCCUUCCACCAAUCACUUACUAAUCUGAGAAUCCAUCCCCUAAUAAAAUCACUGCCUUAAAGCCUGCACAGGAA
ensembl:lncRNA PMS2P4 PMS1 homolog 2, mismatch repair system component pseudogene 4